GAGAAGCACAGCUACGUGCGGAAGCCCAAAAGGAAGACAUCACACGAACAUGUGCCUCCGGUGGCGGCACUGAGAAAUCACAGGUGUGGUAAAGUUAAAGUGGAGUACAUUCAGGAUAAAAAAAAGAGAUCUAACACGCUUUCAGACAGAAAAUAUGGAAUUUUUAAAAAGGCUCGAGAGUUGUGGACUAUGACGGGGGCGGAAAUAACACUGGUUGUAAAUGGUGAGGAGUGGGAUUGCAAUUAUCCACAAGGGAGGCCAUUAGAGGAUCACGAAGAAAAAAGAACAAAAAUUCCGGUGAUUCAGGUAACAGUACAAACAGAUGAACCAGAAACACAACGUGAGGCGGCCGCAGAG
rnacentral:lncRNA from 1 species